UUGAGGAUUUUCCUUAAUAAAGGUGCAGAGGGCCCCACGGUCUGGAUCUUCCUUGUGCCUUAGUGAAGGGGUCCCAUGGAGGAAAGUGGGAUCAGGACUGAACUGGGUUUCCUUUUCAUAGCUGGCUCUCCUCUAUCUACGCCAUGGGACAGGCUUGCCAGAGGCUCCAACCCAUAAUCCUGUCUGAAUCCUUUCCGUGGUGACUCUGCCUCUGCUUUGUCAAGGGAUCAGUUUUCACCUGAGGACAAUGUGGGUGCCUGACUAUUUUCCCUGAUAAGUUCCAAGUCCUGAAUGACCUGUCACUGACUAACCUAUCUAAAAGUUGGUUAAGACUUUGACAUGUGAUUUUGUAAAAAAACAUCAAUUCUUCCUAACCGAAUUGAAAAAUUUAAUGUAAUGGCAAUAAAAAUGGUGAUAGAAUAGUUUUGAAACAGAACAAUCUAUGUGGAAAGUUUAUUUGGAAAAACAGACAUAUAAAAAGAGGUAGGAAAAUCUUGAAAUAGAAGUGCUACAAGGGGGAAAAGGCCAACAAGUAUAAUAGCUUUUUAUUUUCAAGUUAGAGUAAAAUAUAUUUCCUAUGGCUGCUGUAACAAAUUACCACAAACUAAGUGGCUUUAAACAACACAAGUUUAUUCUCUUACAGCUCUGGAGGUCAGAAGUCCAACAUGGGUGAGCAGCACUGGCUCCUUCUAAAGGCUCAUGGGAGAAUCCAUUUCUUCCUCUUCUAGCUUCCAGAGGCUGUCUGCAUUCCUCGGCUCCCGGCCCUUCCUCCAUCCCAAAACCAGCAGUGAGGCUCCUUCCGCUCCCUCCUCUCUGCCCGUUGCUUCCUCAUCUCCUUCCCUGAUGCUGACUCUCCUGCCCUUGAUGACACUGGGCUCACCUGGGUCCUCCAGGGUAUUCUCCUUGUGUCAGAACCCUUACGCGAAUCAUCUCUCUAUGUGCAGCUAACAUAUUCACAGGUUCUGGAGACUGAGAACAUUAUUCUAUCUAACACACAAACCAUUCUGAUUCUUAUAUAUUAAUAAAUCCAUCAAUGGAAUAAAUACAGAGGCUAGAAAUGUACUAAAAACCAUGCAGGAGUUUAGGGUAUAGUAAACGUGAUGCUUAAUAUAAGGCGUGGGGAAUGGAUCAUUCGAUAAAUAAUGCUAAAGGAAAAAUCCACCAAAAUCAAUUCCAAAUCAAUCAAUGAUUUAAAUUAAAGAAAUAUGAAAACCUGAAAAGGCCUGUGAGAUAAUGAGGGAAAAUUAUUUUCAUGAACUUUGAGACAGGAAGACCCUUCUAUGCCAAAUACAAAAUUCAGAAACCAUAUAUAAAACAAUUGAUAAUUUUGAAUACAGAAAUUUUAGCAUAAAAAGUAAAACAAUAAACAGAAAAACUGUUUGCAAGCUGGGCACAAUGGCUCAUGCCUGUAAUCUUAGCGCUUUGGGAGGACAAGACAGGAGGAUUGCUUGAACCCAGGAGUUCAAGACCAGCCUGGGCAACAUAGCAAGACCCUUCCCUACAAAAAAAAAAUUUAGCAGGAUGUGGUGGCACAUGCCUGUAAUCCCACCUACUCAGGAAACUGAGGUGGGAAGAUUAAUUGAGCCUGAGAGGUUGAGGCUCCAGUAAGCCAUGAUUGUGUCACUGCACUCCAGCCUGGGCAAUAGGGCAAGAUUCUGUCUCAAAAAGAAAAAAAGAAAAAAA
ensembl:lncRNA